GUACACGCUGUGACUAGCAUAUCAAUAAGCGGAGGAAAAGAAACUAACAAGGAUUCCCCUAGUAACGGCGAGUGAAGCGGGAAGAGCCUCAAAUUUGAAAUCUUAAAGGGUUUCCCUUUACGAAUUGUAGUUUAAGGAAGUGUUUUCUGUUGAGGUUUUGGUAAAAGUUCUUUGGAAUAGGACAUCAUAGAGGGUGAGAAUCCCGUAUUUGACCUUUACUUUCAACUUUGUGAUACACUUUCAAAGAGUCGGAUUGUUUGGGAAUGCAGUCCAAAAUGGGUGGUAAAUUUCAUCUAAAGCUAAAUAUUGGCGAGAGACCGAUAGCGAACAAGUACCGUGAGGGAAAGAUGAAAAGAACUUUGAAAAGAGAGUUAAACAGUACGUGAAAUUGUCAAAAGGGAAGCGUUUGACACCAGUGUUGUUUUUCUGAAAAUCAAUUAAAGAACUGUUUAUGCUAAGUUGUUUAGACUUUAUCAGCUAACUGUUUAGUUUUGAGCUUUUCUUUAAUGCACUUUUCAGUUACAAGUCAACAUCAAUUUCUUUUGCUGUAAAAAAGCUUGAGGAAGGUGGCUUGAGAUUCGUCUUAAGUGUUUAUAGCCUCUUGCCUAUGCAGUCGGAGAGAUUGAGGUCUGCAGCGUAGAUCCUUCGGGGCUAAAUGCAUUUGUGCUAAGUUAUAGCAUUUUAUAGACAACUUGUUGACUAUGAUUUGUCUUGUAGCUUACUCGCUUAUGUUAUUUUACCUACGCUUAGGAUGUUGACAGCAGUAUAGACUGU
rnacentral:rRNA from 1 species